rnacentral:rRNA from 1 species
AUUGAACGCUGGCGGCAUGCCUUACACAUGCAAGUCGAACGGUAACAGGUCUUCGGAUGCUGACGAGUGGCGAACGGGUGAGUAAUACAUCGGAACGUGCCUAGUAGUGGGGGAUAACUACUCGAAAGAGUGGCUAAUACCGCAUGAGAUCUACGGAUGAAAGCAGGGGAUCGCAAGACCUUGUGCUACUAGAGCGGCCGAUGGCAGAUUAGGUAGUUGGUGGGAUAAAAGCUUACCAAGCCGACGAUCUGUAGCUGGUCUGAGAGGACGAACGGCCACGCUGGGACUGAGACACGGCCCAGACGCCUACGGGAGGCAGCAGUGGGGAAUUUUGGACAAUGGGCGCAAGCCGGAUCCAGCAAUGCCGCGUGCAGGAUGAAGGCCUUCGGGUUGUAAACUGCUUUUGUACGGAACGAAAAGCCCUGGGUUAAUACCCUGGGGUCAUGACGGUACCGUAAGAAUAAGCACCGGCUAACUACGUGCCAGCAGCCGCCGUAACAC